CUUCUACCCACCAUAACCUUUUGUUGUACACCACAGCCCACCAUAUAAAUAUUCCUGCAUGCCACAAACUGUUUGACAAAUUGUCUCAAAGAAAGAAAUUCAAAAGCCAACAGGAUAAUGGAAGUGGUUCAUCAUAGCUGGGGAGACGAUGAUGUUAUAAGCAGCAUGCCAGAUAAUGUGAUCGCUAAUAUUAUGGAUUGUUUGCCAUUGAAAGACGCGGUGGCGACUAGUAUUUUGUCACCAAGUUGGAGGUUUAAGUGGACUCUUUGAUAAAAGUGAUAUUAGUAGACUUCUCCUUCAUCUUAAACAAGUUACAAAAUUUGUCCUCACUAUAACCGGUGACAUCAAAUUAGAUGAUGCGGAUAUUAAUCAUUGGAUUAUGUUCUUGUCUAGAAUACAAGGAUUUAAGGAACUCACUUUAGUAAAUUUCCUUCCAACACCACUUAACUUGCCUAGCCAUCUUUUCUCUUGUCUAGAUUUGAACUAUUUGGAGCUUUAUGAUUGUGUUUUGUCUCCUCCACCUUAUUUUCAUGGUUUUCCAAAGCUAUUGACCUAAGACAUGUACAUGGUAAGCAUUCAAGACCACAAAUAUGGGGAUUUAAUUACUCAGUGUCCCUUACUUGUGACCCUCAAAAUUUGGAAUAGAGACCUUAUAGUGGAAGUGAAAUUGGUUGAGGUUGCAAAACUGAAAAAUCUCAAGGUGUUACGUUUGUCAUUGUGUUUGCUUCAAGAUAUGACCACGCUCAGACUCUCCACUGUCUUCCAGCAUUUGUCUCUUCUCCCAAAACUUCAGGAGCUUCAUUUAAGCUUUGAAAACUGAGAAGAUGUUGCUCAAACUCCGGUCCCUUGCACCUUUCCCUUCCUCAAGGAUCUUACAUUAUUCGACAUGGAUUAUAAUAGUGUCUCCAUGUUAUCAUGUGUUUCUUGGAUGCUUUUUCGCUGCUCAAAUUUACAGAACCUUUCUAUCUAUGCUAUGUACGAGAAUGUUGUCCCACUACCUGCCAUAUGUUCUUUGGAGGUAGACUGCAGCACGACGGGGAAGCUGCAGCUUCAGAAUGUGAAGUUAGUAUGGAUAGAAGGUUUGGAAAAUGAAGUUUGUUUGAUUAAGUAUAUACUGGCUUGUUCCCCCAUGCUAGAGAGCAUUGAAAUUUUACUUGACUCGUCCAUAAAGACCAAUGUCAACGAGAAGUAUCAGCUUGCUAACAAGUUGUUGAAACUCCAUCGAACCUCUCCAAUAGCUGAUGUAGUUAUCCUCUAGUUUGUUGGUGUAUUCAUGAACUAACUUUACAUUUCCUGUUGUUUUGUAUUGAUUUUGUGACUUCUGUGCAUGAUGUGCCGUUUCCAUCUGCUUGUCUAUAUUAGCAAAACUUCUGUUUUGAUAAUGGUGAUAUUAUGGUAUUAGUUUCAGAUACACCUUAGUUUA